rnacentral:rRNA from 1 species
UACGAAGGGGGGCUAGCGUUGCUCGGAAUCACUGGGCGUAAAGCGCACGUAGGCGGAUCUUUAAGUCAGGGGUGAAAUCCUGGAGCUCAACUCCAGAACUGCCUUUGAUACUGGGGAUCUCGAGUCCGGAAGAGGUUGGUGGAACUCCGAGUGUAGAGGUGAAAUUCGUAGAUAUUCGGAAGAACACCAGUGGCGAAGGCGGCCAACUGGUCCGGCACUGACGCUGAGGUGCGAAAGCGUGGGGAGCAAACAGG